UACGUAGGGUGCAAGCGUUGUCCGGAAUUAUUGGGCGUAAAGAGCUCGUAGGCGGUUUGUCGCGUCGAAUGUGAAAACCCGGGGCUCAACCCCGGGCCUGCAUUCGAUACGGGCAGACUAGAGUUCGGUAGGGGAGUCUGGAAUUCCUGGUGUAGCGGUGAAAUGCGCAGAUAUCAGGAGGAACACCGGUGGCGAAGGCGGCUCUCUGGGCCUUACCUGACGCUGAGGAGCGAAAGCGUGGGUAGCGAACAGG
rnacentral:rRNA from 1 species